rnacentral:rRNA from 1 species
AACGCUGGCGGUAUGCCUAGCACAUGCUAGCCGAACGGUAACGCGGGGGCAACCCUGGCGACUAGUGGCGGACGGGUGAGUAAUACGUAGGAAUCUGCCCAUUAGUGGGGGACAACCCGGCGAAAGCCGGGCUAAUACCGCAUACGCUCUACGGAGGAAAGCGGGGGAUCGAAAGACCUCGCGCUAAUGGAUGAGCCCACGUCGGAUUAGCUAGUUGGUAGGGUAAAAGCCUACCAAGGCGACGAUCCGUAGCUGGUCUGAGAGGAGGAUCAGCCACACUGGGACUGAGACACGGCCCAGACUCCUACGGGAGGCAGCAGUAGGGAAUCUUGGACAAUGGGCGAAAGCCUGAUCCAGCCAUGCCGCGUGAGUGAAGAAGGCCUUAGGGUUGUAAAGCUCUUUUGGCGGGGACGAUAAUGACGGUACCCGCAGAAUAAGCCCCGGCUAACUUCGUGCCAGCAGCCGCGGUAAUACGAAGGGGGCUAGCGUUGUUCGGAAUUACUGGGCGUAAAGCGCUCGCAGGCGGAUUGAUAAGUCA